GGUAAAGGGAGUAUAACUAUGACCAUAUUGCAAUGAUCUAAUAUAGGUUUAAUGUAGAUAGAUGGGCUGUUGCAUAAAAGCACAGACACUGCCCGAAAGUUCAUUUGGAACAUACACAUGAAGUAAAUUGUAAUUGAGGACAAUGUUGUUUUUGAUUCAUUUAAAGACAAUAAAUUUGUUCCAUAAAUCAUGGUUGUCUUUGAAACGUUGCAUAAUAAUUACAUUAUCAUUGGAGAGUUUGUGUCAUAGUUUGUGUGGAAAACUUGGAAGCGAUGCCCAGCCUUAGUAAUUGUGUUGUCAAGCUGUGCCAGAAAGAUUUAUUUGAAAUGUUCUGUUGCUUUGGUUGUCUUGGGUGCCACGACAACAACUGGUUGGAGUGACAGUUAAUCCCAGAAUGCUAUUCUUGACUUGAAAGGAUGUUUCAAGUUAAUGAAAUCGAACAAUCAACUAUGCCAGAAAUAUCUAGUAUGCAAAGGUUCAGAAUUUAGAUUUUAUAUAAAUUGUUCAACUCUGAAUAUGACAGCAAUCAACGAGGUAAGAGUGCCCGUACCUACGUGAUGUUUACAAUCUUACCAGUUUACAUUUCUCUGUUCUACUACUUGAUUGAGUGAUUAAUGUCACUGAUUGGUCAUAGUGUUCUAGAACCCCUGGUCUCUAGUGAACAGAAGAUCCACUGGUCUUUGUGUUCUAGAACCCCUGGUCUCUGAUGAACAGAAUAGCCACUGGUCUUUGUGUUCUAGAACCCCUGGUCUCUGGUGAACAGAAUAGCCACUGGUCUUUGUGUUCUAGAACCCCUGGUCUCUGGUGAACAGAAUAGCCACUGGUCUUUGUGUUCUAGAACCCCUGGUCUCUGGUGAACAGAAUAGCCACUGGUCUUUGUGUUCUAGAACCCCUGGUCUCUGGUGAACAGAAUAGCCACUGGUCUUUGUGUUCUAGAACCCGUGGCCUCUGGUGUCAGAAGAAUCCCUGGUCUUUGUGUUCCAGAACUGCCUGCUCUCUGUUCCACAGCCGCUUCCGUUCUGUUGUUCCACUCAUGUGGUUCAGGGUCCCUAGUGUGUCUGACUGGACGGGACAAAGUCUAGUCAGUGUCUGAUUGGAGGGGGCACAUGCUGGUCAGUGUCUGAUUGGAGGGGACACAGGCUGGUCAGUGUCUGAUUGGAGGGGACACAGGCUGGUCAGUGUCUGAUUGGAGGGGACACAGGCUGGUCAGUGUCUGAUUGGACGGGACACUGUCUGGUCAGUGUUUAAUUGGAGGGGACACAGUCUGAUUGGACGGGACACUGUCUGAUUGGACGGGACACUGUCUUGUCAGUGUCUGAUUGGACGGGACACUGUCUUGUCAGUGUUUGAUUGGACGGGACACUGUCUGAUUGGACGGGACGCUGUCUGGUCAGUACGAUUAUCAGAAACACAGUGGUUUCAGAGGGAUGAGACUAUAUUGUCAUCACCCCAGACUCUAACGGCAUGGCCAAACUGGCACAUUGAUUUUAUCCGUAUCUGUGAUUUCCAAUGAUUUCUCAAUUGGAGUCGUACGUUGCCAGGCAGCGGAGGUGAUACGCCCUCUUACAGAAAAUGUCCAUCUAUUUUCACGGACAUAAAAAAAUGCAAAAGUGUUGAACUUUUGACGGGCUGACGGAAACGGUAGCCGAUUAGAAGGGAGGACACAGACCACGAACCGAAAUUAAUCCAUUUUCAAAUGGUGUUCGUUUUCCACUGAUCAUUUUGGCUGCGACCUAACAGAGGGAUAAGGGAGACUGAGACCUUCGAGUCUAAUAUGUGUAUGAAAUUAUAACAAAGUGAAUGUACGGUAUAGAAAAUAUAAUAAUAAAUAUUUAAGUCAAAGGGAAGAAGUUCAUGGAAGAUUUAUGGCAGGUAGCCUAGUGGUUAGAGUGUAGGGGUGGCAGGUAGCCUAGUGGUUAGAGUGUAGGGGUGGCAGGUAGACUAGUGGUUAGAGUGUAGGGGCGGCAGGUAGUCUAGUGGUUAGAGUGGAGGGGUGGCAGGUAGACUAGUGGUUAGAGUGUAGGGGCGGCAGGUAGUCUAGUGGUUAGAGUGGCAUGUAGGGGUGGCAGGUAGACUAGUGGUUGGUGUGUAGGGGGGGUAGGUAGCCUAGUGGUUAGAGUGUAGGGGGGGUAGGUAGCCUAGUGGUUAGAGUGUAGGGGUGGCAGGGCAGCCUAGUGGUUAGAGUGUAGGGGGGGCAGGUAGCCUAGUGGUUAGAGUGUUGGGUCAGUAACCGAAAUGUUGUUGGCUCAAAUCCCCAAACUGACAAGGUAGAAAUCUGUUGUCUUGCCUCUGAACAAGGCAGUUAAAACACUGUUCUCCGGUAGGCCGUCAUUGUAAAUAAGAAUUUGUUCUUAACUGACUUGCCUGGUUAAACAAAAAAAUAAUAAAUACAAUUUCAAUAAUAAAAUAUAAAUACUUUGCAUAAA
rnacentral:lncRNA from 1 species